rnacentral:lncRNA from 1 species
AGCAAAAUUUUGUGUAUUUUUUGCUCUUGACUUACCAGUGAACAUAGAAUAAGGUCAGAUAGCUUCCAAGGAGUGGAUGCUUAUGGAGAGAUCACAUGGAGCCUUGUAGCUGAUUUAUAAUCUCAUGGUCCUCAUUCAUGCAUCAAACCCCUGAAGGCCUGGCAUUUUUAUCCCCCGACUCAACCUGCAUGCUACCAGAAGCUCAACAAAAUUUAUGUAAGGCAGCAAUCUAACAGCAAUACAACACUAAACAUUCCUUGAGAAAAACACAAACAACAGGCAGAACUCAUGUCUGAGUAGAAGCUUCUUAGAAGAACUGAGUAGAACUUGGAAGAAACAUGUA